CAUCCCGGAAGCGGUAGUACCCAUCACAUUACUCGCCUAAACUCACCCGCACCGGGAUGACGACAGCGCGCCAGUCCUCGGUUAGAUUGACGUCCGGCACCCGGCAGUGGUGUGUCGGCGUGUCGGUCAGGAAGACGAGCGUGAAGGCACCGAAGCCGUUCGGCACGAUGCUGAUGCACAGCAAAAGAAAAACGACCUGCUGGAAGCGUCCGAACUGCCCCAAGAAGGCGACGGUCUCCAGCGGCGAACAUAAGAGACCCCAUCUCGCUAGGGAAAACAAUUAGCUCCUUCUGUCACGAGGAAGCUAAGUAGCCACCGCCCUGUCACCCACCCCACAUGCCUCCGAAACUGCCUAUCGAACCCCGCCUGCCUCCGGGAACGCGCCGGCGGUCCGCCCGGGAGGCAGCGCCUGUUAAUCACGCGAGGAUACGCGACGGACGCGUCCGUGAUGGCGCGUGAGCGAGUUGCCUCUUUCCAAAGUGCUGACUCCGCAGGAAAACCACCAAACAACCAAACAAACAAAUAAGAUGAAGAUAAGAAGUCUGUCUCGUGACUGCCGAGGACACGCCCAAGCGUUGACAGCAAUGAGAAGAAGAAGAAAAAAAGAAAAGAAGUGUGCGUCUCAUGUUCUGUACAGAAGGACGAAGAGGAGGAAGAUCACGGCAGCUGCUUGUUGAGCAGCCUGAGGCGCGUCUGAUGGGCGAUUGUCCCUGACAGCUCAACGUUCAAGUGCAUACAAGAGUGUCGUUCUUCACAGAAUCUUUGUCAAAGUUAACAGUUGCGUAAGGAUUAAGAAAGCUACGUCAAGCUUUCUGGGGUUGUUGUAUUUGUUUUUACGACGUGUUUCGAUUUGAAACAGUGCCGUGAUGCGCUGAUCCUUAUUGACCACACGGCGGCGCCAAAACGCCAUAUUAAUGGUAAUGGCCCUGAACUGCUUUGAUAGAAAUUCUUGAGUUAAUGCUGUUUUUUACAAAUUAUUCUUAUUUUAAUUGUCAUGCCAAAUUAUACCAUUUCGGAUUGUAUUAUGACCACAAGAUUACUCUUAUUGUGUUAGUAAAAUGUUCUUUAGUUAUGAGUUUGAAUGAGUGUUUCUUUGGGAUGGGCUUGCUUUAAACCUGUACUUGUACUUGAAUCUUGUGCUUUUAAUACAGUAUGCACUUUUGCUUUAGACUUACACUUUAUACAUGAUUUGGGCCCUGAUCAUAAAAGAAGAAAAUAGUUGACUGUGGCUUUUAUUAAUAUCUAUUUGGCAUCUGAAUGUGAUUUGAACGUGGCUACACUGAGGUAGAGGUGACACCCUCAAGUGUUUAAUGGGGUGACGGGUGGGCUGCAAAGACCCCCCCUGACCCACCAUCAAGUGAGAACAUGUGUAGGUGGAAUUACGGGGGUACGGCAUUAGCAGAUGGAAUAGUGGAAAGAACUACUAACCCAUACUUGGCAGACUUUACAUGGUCAACAUGCCCCCCCCCAAAACACACACCUCCUCAGUACCAACAUGUUCACUUUCUUAGAUAAACACCUUCAGCAUUUGCAUGAAUGUUGUCAAUAAUAUUGCGGCGAUAGUCACUGGCAUAUUAAAGAAAGUGUCUGGAAAAUUCUUCUGGUAUGCAACUUUAUCCAGAUCUGCACCCAAUUCCAAAUUGUAUACUUUCAUGAAAAUACCCUUGCGCAUACGCAUAAAUGUUGUCAUUAUGAUUGCGGCAUUAGUCACUGGCAUGUUAAGGAAAAUGUUGGGAAAAUUCCUUUGAUCUGGUCCAAAACACUUUCAUAUGUCAAUACAGUAUGCCCCUAACCUGAUUGUGUUUGAAUGUUGUCCUUUAGAUUGUGUCAUUAAUCACAGGGAUAUUGAGGAAAAUGUCUGGAAAGUUCCUGUGAUGCGCACUUUUAUCCAGCUCUACCCUAAACUGUACACAUUAAUAGAUAAACACCUCCUGCAUAUGCAUCAAUUUUGUCAUUAAAAGUAUUGUAUCAGUCAUUAGUCACUGGCAUAUUAAGGAAAAUGUUGGGAAAAUUAUUUUGAUGCGGACCUGUAUCCAGAUCUGCACCCAAUUCCAAAUUGUACAUUUUCCUAGAUAUUCUCAUGUGCUUAUGCAUGCAUGUUGUUAUUAUGUUCGCAGUAUUAGUCACUAGCAUAUUAAGGAAGAUAACAUAAAAAAUCAUUUGUUCCUUUGUCGCACCUUUGUCGAGGUCUUCACACAAUUUCAGACAGAUUGUACCUACCCUUUCACACAAUUUUGCACCACAAUUAUUGUCCACAUUUUCAUAGAUAUACCACUCUACCCCUCGGCAUAUGCUUAAAUGAUGUCACCAUGAUUAUGGCAUUAGUCACUGACUGUCAUAUUAAAGAAAAUAUUGUGAAAGAUUCAAAUUGUACACUUUCAUAGAUAUACCACCUCAUUCAUGCACAGUGAAUCCAUACAUAUUGUCUUUAACAUUCUCGUAUUAUUCACUGCGGUAUUAAUGAAAAUAUCUGGUAAAUUCCUUUAAUGGCCACCUUGAUACAGAUCUGCCCCAAAUUCUACACUUUCAAGUGAUACCACCCCUGCUUAUGCAUGAAUGUUUUAUUCACUGGAAUAUUAAGGAAAAUGUUGUAAACAUUCCUUUCUCACUGUUACCAUGGUGACAGCUCAGCCUUGAAUUACAAGAGAAUAAAACGGUCCAGUAAGCAGAU